rnacentral:sRNA from 1 species
AUUCUGCCCAUGCGGGGAAGGAUGAGAAGCUUCGACCAAGGUUCGACUUGAGCGCCAGCGAGAGAGCGUUGCCGCAGGCAACGACCCG